GCACGUAGUUGGCCGGUGCUUAUUCACAGGGUACGGUCAAUCCCGACAAGUCGGGACAUUCAUCCCCUUAAAAGAGGUUUACAUCCUAACGGAUUUCAUCCCUCACGCGGCGUCGCUGCUUCAGGCUUUCGCCCAUUGAGCAAUAUCCCUCACUGCUGCCUUCCGUAGAAGUCUGGACCGUGUCUCAGUUCCAGUGUGGCUGAUCGUCCUCUCAGACCAGCUACCCAUCGUCGACUUGGUGGGCCGUUACCCCGCCAACUAUCUAAUGGGACGCAAGCCCAUCUUAUGACGCCCUUUUGGGGCCUUUGAUUUCAAAGUAAUGCUGCUUCGAAACAUCAUCGGGUAUUAGCCCCGCUUUCGCGGGGUUAUUCCCGUUCACAAGGAAGGUUGCUUACGUGUUACUCACCCGUUCGCCGGUUUACUCAGGAUAUUGCUACCCUUUUCUCCCAGACUUGCAUGUGUUAGGCACGCCGCCAGCGUUCGUC
rnacentral:rRNA from 1 species